UUUUACCUGCGCACCUGCCAAAUAAGCAUGGGCAUGAAAUGUUUGGAAUUAGUUUGGUCACCCCUUUGCUGAAUUCCCCUUUGGAUUCCUGAACCUGGUAACAAGAAAGACAGCUCAUUGUUCAACCCUAAAGACGCAACUGGUUAUCAACCUAUUCCUUAUUCCAUAGUCCAUAGUCCCUAAUCCUAGGACAUUCAAUUCAUACAACAAUUCAACUGUUUCAACAUAUUACCAAUGCCAUCAGAACCAUCUGGAAGAAAAAUAAAACCCCAAAAAGGAA